rnacentral:rRNA from 1 species
UUAAGCGACUAAGCGUACACGGUGGAUGCCCUGGCAGUCAGAGGCGAUGAAGGACGUGCUAAUCUGCGAAAAGCGUCGGUAAGGUGAUAUGAACCGUUAUAGCCGGCGAUGUCCGAAUGGGGAAACCCAGUGCAAUUCGUUGCACUAUCGUUAACUGAAUACAUAGGUUAACGAGGCGAACCGGGGGAACUGAAACAUCUAAGUACCCCGAGGAAAAGAAAUCAACCGAGAUUCCCCCAGUAGCGGCGAGCGAACGGGGAGCAGCCCAGAGUCUGAAUCAGCUUGUGUGUUAGUGGAACGGUCUGGAAAGUCCGACGGUACAGGGUGAUAGUCCCGUACACCAAAAUGCACAGGUUGUGAACUCGAAGAGUAGGGCGGGACACGUGGUAUCCUGUCUGAAUAUGGGGGGACCAUCCUCCAAGGCUAAAUACUCCUGACUGACCGAUAGUGAACCAGUACCGUGAGGGAAAGGCGAAAAGAACCCCGGCGAGGGGAGUGAAAAAGAACCUGAAACCGUGUACGUACAAGCAGUGGGAGCACCUUCGGGUGUGACUGCGUACCUUUUGUAUAAUGGGUCAGCGACUUAUAUUCUGUAGCAAGGUUAACCGUAUAGGGGAGCCGCAGGGAAACCGAGUCUUAACUGGGCGUUAAGUUGCAGGGUAUAGACCCGAAACCCGGUGAUCUAGCCAUGGGCAGGUUGAAGGUUGGGUAACACUAACUGGAGGACCGAACCGACUAAUGUUGAAAAAUUAGCGGAUGACUUGUGGCUGGGGGUGAAAGGCCAAUCAAACCGGGAGAUAGCUGGUUCUCCCCGAAAGCUAUUUAGGUAGCGCCUCGUGAACUCAUCUUCGGGGGUAGAGCACUGUUUCGGCUAGGGGGUCAUCCCGACUUACCAACCCGAUGCAAACUACGAAUACCGAAGAAUGUUAUCACGGGAGACACACGGCGGGUGCUAACGUCCGUCGUGAAGAGGGAAACAACCCAGACCGCCAGCUAAGGUCCCAAAGUCAUGGUUAAGUGGGAAACGAUGUGGGAAGGCACAGACAGCCAGGAUGUUGGCUUAGAAGCAGCCAUCAUUUAAAGAAAGCGUAAUAGCUCACUGGUCGAGUCGGCCUGCGCGGAAGAUGUAACGGGGCUAAACCAUGCACCGAAGCUGCGGCAGCGACACUAUGUGUUGUUGGGUAGGGGAGCGUUCUGUAAGCCUGCGAAGGUGACCUGUGAGGGUUGCUGGAGGUAUCAGAAGUGCGAAUGCUGACAUAAGUAACGAUAAAGCGGGUGAAAAGCCCGCUCGCCGGAAGACCAAGGGUUCCUGUCCAACGUUAAUCGGGGCAGGGUGAGUCGACCCCUAAGGCGAGGCCGAAAGGCGUAGUCGAUGGGAAACAGGUUAAUAUUCCUGUACUUGGUGUUACUGCGAAGGGGGGACGGAGAAGGCUAUGUUAGCCGGGCGACGGUUGUCCCGGUUUAAGCAUGUAGGCUGAUUGUCCAGGCAAAUCCGGAUAAUCAAGGCUGAGGUGUGAUGACGAGGCACUACGGUGCUGAAGUAACAAAUGCCCUGCUUCCAGGAAAAGCCUCUAAGCAUCAGGUAACAUCAAAUCGUACCCCAAACCGACACAGGUGGUCAGGUAGAGAAUACCAAGGCGCUUGAGAGAACUCGGGUGAAGGAACUAGGCAAAAUGGUGCCGUAACUUCGGGAGAAGGCACGCUGGUGUGUAGGUGAAGUCCCUGCGGAUGGAGCUGAGACCAGUCGAAGAUACCAGCUGGCUGCAACUGUUUAUUAAAAACACAGCACUGUGCAAACACGAAAGUGGACGUAUACGGUGUGACGCCUGCCCGGUGCCGGAAGGUUAAUUGAUGGGGUUAUCCGUAAGGAGAAGCUCUUGAUCGAAGCCCCGGUAAACGGCGGCCGUAACUAUAACGGUCCUAAGGUAGCGAAAUUCCUUGUCGGGUAAGUUCCGACCUGCACGAAUGGCGUAAUGAUGGCCAGGCUGUCUCCACCCGAGACUCAGUGAAAUUGAACUCGCUGUGAAGAUGCAGUGUACCCGCGGCAAGACGGAAAGACCCCGUGAACCUUUACUAUAGCUUGACACUGAACAUUGAGCCUUGAUGUGUAGGAUAGGUGGGAGGCUUUGAAGCGUGGACGCCAGUCUGCGUGGAGCCAACCUUGAAAUACCACCCUUUAAUGUUUGAUGUUCUAACGUUGGCCCCUUACCGGGGUUGCGGACAGUGUCUGGUGGGUAGUUUGACUGGGGCGGUCUCCUCCCAAAGCGUAACGGAGGAGCACGAAGGUUAGCUAAUCCUGGUCGGACAUCAGGAGGUUAGUGCAAUGGCAUAAGCUAGCUUGACUGCGAGCGUGACGGCGCGAGCAGGUGCGAAAGCAGGUCAUAGUGAUCCGGUGGUUCUGAAUGGAAGGGCCAUCGCUCAACGGAUAAAAGGUACUCCGGGGAUAACAGGCUGAUACCGCCCAAGAGUUCAUAUCGACGGCGGUGUUUGGCACCUCGAUGUCGGCUCAUCACAUCCUGGGGCUGAAGUAGGUCCCAAGGGUAUGGCUGUUCGCCAUUUAAAGUGGUACGCGAGCUGGGUUUAGAACGUCGUGAGACAGUUCGGUCCCUAUCUGCCGUGGGCGCUGGAGAAUUGAGGGGGGCUGCUCCUAGUACGAGAGGACCGGAGUGGACGCAUCACUGGUGUUCGGGUUGUCAUGCCAAUGGCACUGCCCGGUAGCUAAAUGCGGAAGAGAUAAGUGCUGAAAGCAUCUAAGCACGAAACUUGCCCCGAGAUGAGUUCUCCCUGAGACUUUAAGUCUCCUGAAGGAACGUUGAAGACGACGACGUUGAUAGGCCGGGUGUGUAAGCGCAGCGAUGCGUUGAGCUAACCGGUACUAAUGAACCGUGAGGCUUAACCU